ACGCUCGACACCUACGGUAGGCAGCAGUGGGGAAUAUUGCACAAUGGGGGAAACCCUGAUGCAGCGACGCCGCGUGGAGGAAGAAGGUCUUCGGAUUGUAAACUCCUGUUGUUGGGGAAAAAGAGGAUGGUACCCAACAAGGAAGUGACGGCUAACUACGUGCCCGCAGCCGCGGUAAUCUGAGCGGGCUGGCAAGGC
rnacentral:rRNA from 1 species